rnacentral:rRNA from 1 species
UACGAAGGGGGCUAGCGUUGUUCGGAAUUACUGGGCGUAAAGCGCACGUAGGCGGACUAUUAAGUCAGGGGUGAAAUCCCGGGGCUCAACCCCGGAACUGCCUUUGAUACUGGUAGUCUCGAGUCCGGAAGAGGUGAGUGGAAUUCCGAGUGUAGAGGUGAAAUUCGUAGAUAUUCGGAGGAACACCAGUGGCGAAGGCGGCUCACUGGUCCGGAACUGACGCUGAGGUGCGAAAGCGUGGGGAGCAAACAGGAUUAGAAACCCCCGUAGUCC